rnacentral:rRNA from 1 species
AUUGAACGCUGGCGGCAUGCCUUACACAUGCAAGUCGAACGGCAGCGGGGACUUCGGUCCGCCGGCGAGUGGCGAACGGGUGAGUAAAGUAUCGGAACGUACCUUUCAGUGGGGGAUAACGUAGCGAAAGUUACGCUAAUACCGCAUAUUCUGUGAGCAGGAAAGCAGGGGAUCGCAAGACCUUGCGCUGAUUGAGCGGCCGAUAUCAGAUUAGCUAGUUGGUGGGGUAAAGGCCUACCAAGGCUACGAUCUGUAGCGGGUCUGAGAGGAUGAUCCGCCACACUGGGACUGAGACACGGCCCAGACUCCUACGGGAGGCAGCAGUGGGGAAUUUUGGACAAUGGGGGCAACCCUGAUCCAGCCAUGCCGCGUGAGUGAAGAAGGCCUCGGGUUGUUAAAGGCUACUUUCGCAAGGAAAGAAAACUUAAUACU